GAUGAACGCUGGCGGCGUGCUUAACACAUGCAAGUCGAACGGUGAAGCAGGAGCUUGCUCUUGUGGAUCAGUGGCGAACGGGUGAGUAACACGUGAGCAACCUGCCCCUGACUCUGGGAUAAGCGCUGGAAACGGCGUCUAAUACUGGAUAUGUGAUGUGACCGCAUGGUCUGCAUCUGGAAAGAAUUUCGGUUGGGGAUGGGCCCGCGGCCUAUCAGCUUGUUGGGGAGGUAAUGGCUCACCAAGGCGUCGACGGGUAGACGGCCUGAGAGGGUGGCCGGCCACACUGGGACUGAGACACGGCCCAGAAUCCUACGGGAGGCAGCAGUGGUGAAUAUUGCACAAUGGGCGGAAGCCUGAUGCAGCAACGCCGCGUGAGGGAUGACGGCCUUCUGGUUGUAAACCUCUUUUAGCAGGGAAGAAGCGAAAGUGACGGUACCUGCAGAAAAAGCACCGGCUAACUACGUGCCAGCCGCCGCCGUAA
rnacentral:rRNA from 1 species